AUAUUGCGACACUCCUAAUUAACACGAUAAUGAUAUUUCAUUAUUUAAAUAUCACGGUUAUCGUCAAUACCGGUAUAUCGCGACACCCCUAACUCAAGUCUCUAAUUCUCACACUGAAGGAAAAAGUUGACAUCCAUGUACGACGAGCUGCUGUCCUCUGUGCUCUGUCCACCUAUCUGCUUGAGGAUGACUCCAGCUUUCUCAAGAUGUGGGAUAACACCAAAUAAUUGCUGCAAUUCUAAGAUAUAUUCAAAACCUGGAACUACAACCUGAAUGACUAUAUAUGGAACGAUCUUCCCACCCCUAUCCGGAAUGCUGAAUCCCUGACAAUUUUCAAGCGACAGCUGAAAACUCAUCUCUUUCGAAGCUACUUGAC
rnacentral:lncRNA from 1 species